CGGCCUCUCCGAAGCCUGCCCGGCUCCUCGGGAACGUGCCUCCCGCAUGGCAGCUGCUGCCCUUCAGAGGCCG
rnacentral:pre_miRNA from 1 species